ACUCCUGCGGGAGGCAGCAGUGGGGAAUAUUGGACAGUGGGCGCAAGCCUGAUCCAGCCAUGCCGCGUGAGUGAUGAAGGCCCUAGGGUUGUAAAGCUCUUUCACCGGUGAAGAUAAUGACGGUAACCGGAGAAGAAGCCCCGGCUAACUUCGUGCCAGCAGCCGCGGUAAUACGAAGGGGGCUAGCGUUGUUCGGAUUUACUGGGCGUAAAGCGCACGUAGGCGGACUAUUAAGUCAGGGGUGAAAUCCCGGGGCUCAACCCCGGAACUGCCUUUGAUACUGGUAGUCUUGAGUUCGAGAGAGGUGAGUGGAAUUCCGAGUGUAGAGGUGAAAUUCGUAGAUAUUCGGAGGAACACCAGUGGCGAAGGCGGCUCACUGGCUCGAUACUGACGCUGAGGUGCGAAAGCGUGGGGAGCAAACAGGAUGAGAUACCCCAGUAGUCCGAUGA
rnacentral:rRNA from 1 species